rnacentral:tRNA from 1 species
GCCAGGGUAGCUCAGUUGGUUAGAGCGCUACUUUUGUAAAGUAGAAGUCGUGGGUUCGAAUCCCUCCCCUGGCUCCA